UACGUAGGGUGCGAGCGUUAAUCGGAAUUACUGGGCGUAAAGCGUGCGCAGGCGGUUUGCUAAGACCGAUGUGAAAUCCCCGGGCUUAACCUGGGAACUGCAUUGGUGACUGGCAAGCUAGAGUGUGGCAGAGGGGGGUAGAAUUCCACGUGUAGCAGUGAAAUGCGUAGAGAUCGGGAGGAACACCAGUGGCGAAGGCGGCUACCUGGACCAGCAUUGACACUCAAGCACGAAAGCGUGGGGAGCAAACAGG
rnacentral:rRNA from 1 species